CCAAAUACACAACAUCAAGGGCACGCCGCAGCAUCCCUUCGCUCUGCUCUCUUCCUCCUCCUCACUUAUACUUCACGAUUACCACCUACACACACACACACACAGCCUAUUCACAGACCCACGCACGUCCUUCUCUUCACCCCACGUGUGCAGUGGGGUUCUCUUUUAUCAUUCUUAUGCAGCUGAAGUGCUCUCCGUGCUUACUGCGAGCAGUCCACGAAGAUCAGAAGACCCCUUCCUUUCCCUCGCAUAUAUUUUUCAGUCGGUGUGUGGGCUUGUGCGGCGUUGCCAUGGGCAUCCGUAGCAUCUCGCGUCGCGGGUGUCGCGGCAGUCAGCUGCGGUGCAGUCUUCUCUGUAGCAUUGCGGCUGCCGUCGCGGUGCUUGCCAUACUCGCAAGCGUCGCCACACAACCCGUUCUGGCUGAGGCGGAGGAUGAUGCGUCAUGGCAGCCGAUGGACGCCCGCGGCAGAGAAACGAUUGGUUCGAUGGCCCAUGCGCCCGCGGCACAUGUAGACGCAUCGCAUGCCCCAGCCACGGAUGACUCGCUUACGCCGGCCGGCUCUGUGCUGCACCGCGACGACGCAGCGUUGGGGGCACCAGAGCCCACGAGCAACCGGCAGGAGCGUUGCGAAGAAGCUGCAGGGCACUCUGCUGAGCUGUGCACGGACACGGUAUCAGCAGAUAGGGCUGCAGAGAGCGACAGUGUGUCGAGCUCUGCUCCUCGCCUCCCAUCAGAGGCCUUGACGGACGAGUCUGUCGUGGUGGAGCGCCACUGGUCUGAGCCGCCGCCGCCGCAACAGGGUGUGCCGAGCCAAGCACCGCCGCACGGUGCCCAGUACAGCGGCGAAGGAAGAGGUUGGCAGCUUGAGCAGCAGCAGCAGGCAAGAGAGCCGACGGACACUAUGUCAUCAGCUAUUUCCACAGACGGCACGGGUGCCCUGUGCGCGGAUGACGCACCUGCUGCAGCUCCGGCUAAAAAGCCCGCCACUGCUUCCAGCAGCGAUGUCGGUGUAACCGCUGCUUCUGCUAAUGCGGUGCCGGAGCUGAGAGCUUCUCAUCCUACACCGCCGCCCGAGGACCUUGCUACACCAGCGCGGUUAGAUGAGCCGCCCGCGUUCGAUGAGGCCGCCGCUUCCACCCUUGCAUGGGAGGAACGGGGCUCACUGGCAUCACAGCAACCACCGGCGGAGGUGCAAGAAACAUACGACGUGCCUCAGCAGUCAGCGGGCGAGGCCUCGGAUAGCGCCGCCGGAGGGACUGAGGCCUGGGAGGCUCACCCAAGCACCAUGCCAGACCGCGCAAGUGACGCCGCUCAGGUGGAGAACCAGACGCCCUUGCAGGGGAAUAGCCGGGAGCCGCACGAACACCAGCAGGUCACCUCUCUCCACUGUGACGCGCACACCACUGUACAAUGCAAGCCUGCGUGUGAGGCGGGGGAGGGACAGCAUGGGGCUGCCGCGGAGGCCGCGCAGCAGGAAGCCUCGUCAACAUCCACAGCCGAAACAACGCCCGCUUCGCUGGAAGCGCCGACGACGUGGUGCACCUCUGAAGGGCCGCAGCAGACAUGGGCAGCUCAAGCUCACGAGGGAAUGGAGGGCAAGGUGCCAUCGGACAGCGCUUCUGUCCCGGAGGCGCAGGAGCAACCAGCACCGGGGCACCAUAGAAUGCACCAGCAGCGGACCGGAGGCGGAGAGGCUGGGGGCGAUGGUGCCAAACAUAGUGCGGGUGACACUGCGGCUGAUGAUGAGGCUCUCGGCGGCACUGCGGGUGCCUCGGUGGAGGAGGUGCGGCCCACAGAGGUGCCACCGCCUGAAGCGGAGGAGUCGACUGCAGAGGAGCACGCAAGUGCGGCGGAGCCUGCCACGUACGCGGCGACUGCGGAGGCGUCCGAGACGGGAUGCUCUGUAGCGCCGUGCACCGACGACUCUCCGUCUCACGUCGUGAAAGCGGCGGCCGUUGUCACCAAGCAGGCACUUGCCGAGCGGCGCGCGAACGGCGACGGCCAAGGCGGCAGUGAUGUGCCGAUGACCUCUGAAGAAAACGGUGAAGCUGCGGCCUAUGCGCAGCCGACAGACGGCCAGACCGAACGCGGCGACGUCACUCCUGCAGCAGAUGUCGACACUAUCAGUCAUGAGGAGGGGGCGAUGAAGUCGGAGGAGGCGGUCACCCAGUUUUGGGAGGGGCCAGAUGACACUGCGGCUGCUACGGCUGAGAUUGCCUUUAAGGGGGAGGCAGAGGACGCUGUCAGCGGGGCUGCCGUUGAUCUGGACGAGGUCGAUGGUGAUGGGCUGAAAAAGGAUGAGGAGCAGCCUGUAUCCUCUUCAACAGCCUCUGCCACGAUCAGCGCGCCCAGUAGCAGCACCGCCGCGCGGUAUCAUCGUUACGAACACGAUGUGCUGCACCCUCCAUCCCCACCCCCGUCGCGACUCGCGCUGUCCUACCUCUACUACCACGCGCUGGAGGCGCUCUAUGUGAACGAGAACGUCACACUUUUCGUGCAGCGCGCCCGUGAUGUGGCGCCGUACGGACAUGCUCGGCUGAACUGGCUUCUCGGUGUGCUGCACGCCUACGGCAUCGGCGUCCCUCGCAGCGAGCGAGAUGCGCUCAUGUACUACUCCUUUGCUGCCAUGGAGGCUGUCCCUGAGGCACAUAUGGCGCUCGGGUACCGCUACAAGCUCGGCCUCGGUGUCGUGGCGAGCUGCGAGAGCGCGCUGGCGCACUAUCGCGAGGCGGCGGACGCGGUGGCUAUGACGUACGAUGGAACUGCCGCUGCCUCGGGCGGUGGCGCGGAACCGAUGACCGCUGGAGCGAAGACGGUUGGCAGCGGCAAGGGCGGCCGCAGCGGGUCGAUGUCCUUUUUCGCCUACCGCGACGACGCCGCCGUGUCUGACAUGCGCAAGCAGCGCCGGCUGGAUUUGAUUAGCCUCAAGUAUCAGGCUGACAUUGGCAACGUGGAUGCGCUGCUCACACUAGGGUACUUGCUCCUCAAGGGUGACUAUCAGGUGGUGCGCGAUGGCCGUCGCGCCGCCGCCUACUUUCAGACCGCAGCUGGAAAGGGUAGCGCACGAGCGCAUGGAGCGCUGGGCCAGCUGUACAUGGCCGGCGAUCCGUCCAUCAGCCCACCGCUGCUGCCCGACCUGCGGCGGGCCCUCCACCACUUCCGCCUUGGCGCUCUGCAGAACGAUGCGCUGUCCCUGAAUGGGAUGGGCUUCCUCCACGCUGUAGGGUACCUCUAUCAAGACAAGCAGCACAGCGCGACCGGCGCCGACAGCAACGGCGAGGCUGCGGCGCCGCCGUCGAACGGGCCGCCGGACUUCGCGACGGCGGCGCAGUACUUCUACCGCAGCCACUGCGCUGAGGGUCUGUACAACCUCGGGGUCCUUUUCCUGCACGGUCGCGGAGUGGCGCCAGACAAGAAGCAAGCACGUCGCCUCUUCGAAAGGGCGGCGAAGCAAGGUAGCGUGCUCGCGCAGUGGCAGCUAGCGAACAUGCUGAGCGAGGCCACCGAGGAUGGUGGCGCCUUACCGGCGGCAGAGUGCGAGCGGGCACUGGCGCUGUACCAGCGCACCGCGUCCUUUGGCACUUGGCAGCACCGCGCUCCAGGCAACCGCCACUCGGGUGGUAGAGCCGGCGUCGGCGCUGACAAUGCAGAUCUGCAGCGACAACCGCAGCGUCAUGGCCAGGUGAAAGGGAAGAUGGGUGCCGACGGAGACCGUGACGCACGGCUGUUGGAGGCGACGAGGUCCAAGCGCGUGCCAUCGCAUGAUGGCAGCGGAAGCGAGGACGAUGGGGACGGUGCCAACGACGGCGAUGCUACGGACCGUCUUUACGGCUUUGUGCGGCCGCGAUCGGAGGCUGAGUAUCAAGUGCUGCUCGCCGGCAUCCUUGACCGCCUGCACGCUGUGGAGGAGUCGCUGCUGUCGUCCGACGAGGAUGAAGGCCCGACCACUACGUCAUUGGCUUCCUUCGUUGAGCUGCUCAGCCUGGCGGAGACCGGCGACGCGGCCGCUUCCUGGUUGGCCGUCCAGUACGUGGACGACUACCUUGAGGUGGCGGACACGCCACUGCCACAUGGUAGGCACGCCAGUAAGAGCGGUGCGGUUCCUCUUUUCUGGCCUUUGACCGCUGCUCCAGGACGGACGCCGCAGUACCUCUCCGGCGAGGCGGCCGCCAGUGAGCUGCUCUACCAUCUGCUGCAGCGCACUGUGCUGCAUCACACACACACGCAUACCACACUCGGGGCUGCAUAUCUGCGCCUUGGCAACUUCUACUACUAUGGCGAGUCCCCACAGUACGGGGUGGACAUGGAGCGUGCACUGGCGUACUACCGCAUCGCUGGCGAUCACCAUCACAACGCGCAGGCACUCUUCAAUGUGGGCUUCAUGUAUCAGCUGGGUCUGCACAAGGCCCCUCGCGCAACGCGGGUGGUGCAGGGCAUGUCUGCGCAGGAGUUGAUGGAGCGUCCUGAAGUGCUGCGGCACUACACCAACGCUCCGGUAGGGGCCGAGUGGAAGGUGCAUUCGAACCCGCCCGAGUAUCUGCGGACAUCGCCGGCCUUCCACCUCACUCUCAAGGCCGCCGCAAACGCGUGGAACCGCGCCAGCGCAGACCCGAUGGCGCGAGGCGUCGACGUGUACCUCGCGUGGAAGUACUACACGGCUUCGCUUAGGCAAGAGGAGCGGGGCUCGAUGGCGGUGCAGUUCGCCUUGGCGGUGCUCAACGUGCAGUGGUCUCUGCGACACUUCGGCAUUUCUCGGCUGCUGCCGCAGUUGGGGUCGUCUGCGUCGCCUGCUGGUUCACCCUCGGCUUCUGCCCACUCGGCAUCCUCCAUGGCGGAGGCAGGGGCUGAUGAAGUUGACGACACGCUAUGGACCGGUGCGGGGGGCGCGCAUCGGGCUCAUCAGGGCAAGCGCGACGUCCUUCACGGGCCACUGGGCACGCUGACCACCACGAUUCAAGUGAUGUGGAACCGCCUCAUGGAGAACGCCGUGGACGCUUCGGGGACGAUGCUCUCAUGGUACAAGCCGUUGGAGGAUGCGGUGCUGUACGGCGCCAUUUCCGUGGUUGUCGUCGGACUUCUUGUUCGACAUCACGUGGCAUAGCAGCGUCCUUCUCUGCGUAUGCGUGCGUUGCUGAUGGAUGUGUGUGCGUGUGUGUCUGUGUGGUGGGAGCCGGCGGGGUGGCGGUGAAGACGCUGACGAAACUUACCGGGCGCCCAAGGACUUGAUCUUUCGCUGCCACUACACCUCCCCGAGCCCUCGUGCCCCGCUCUUUCUCUCUCCCCGCGCAUCGCGCUGCUUGGGCUUCUCUGCUGUUCAGGUGAAGGGCCGCUUCUCCUUUUUUACCUUCCGCUCAACUCGAUCAACCGGGCACAUACACAUGCAGUGCCAUUCACGGAUACGAAAAAGAAGGGAGGGCAAAGUACUCGGGUCCUGAUCGCCGGCUGCACGAUAGCCGGCGUGUGUGCCUGUGCGUGUGCCCGUACACGGCCAAGAGGGCACUCCCCUGCUAACACC
rnacentral:misc_RNA from 1 species